rnacentral:rRNA from 1 species
GCAACGCGAAAAACCUUACCCACCGUUUGACAUGUACGGAACCUUUAGAGAUAGAGGGGUGCUCGAAAGAGAGCCGUAACACAGGUGCUGCAUGGCUGUCGUCAGCUCGUGUCGUGAGAUGUUGGGUUAAGUCCCGCAACGAGCGCAACCCUUGUCAUUAGUUGCUACAUUCAGUUGGGCACUCUAAUGAGACUGCCGGUGACAAGCCGGAGGAAGUGGGGAUGACGUCAAGUCCUCAUGGCCCUUAUAGGUGGGGCUACACACGUCAUACAAUGGCUGGUACAAAGGGUUGCCAACCCGCGAGGGGGAGCCAAUCCCAUAAAGCCAGUCGUAGUCCGGAUCGUAGUCUGCAACUCGACUACGUGAAGUCGGAAUCGCUAGUAAUCGUGGAUCAGAAUGUCACGGUGAAUACGUUCCCGGGUCUU